rnacentral:lncRNA from 1 species
AUUAUUAGGGACAUGAAUUCUUCAUAUUUUGGUAGUGGUUUGGAUGUUUUACGCCGCUAGUUUCACGACUUCUGGUUUUGGACAAACAAUGAAUACAAACAAAGCAAAUGAAUUAAUAUUUAUCGAAGUAGUCUAUGUCUAAUUAUAAUAAUAAUAAUUUACAUUGUCUAUUUUGUGCAUAAUAAUUUACCUGUUACGCGAUGUUUUAAUGCAAUAGUUAACAAAAAUAAAAACACAUAUAUAGCAAAGCACUCCACUAGCAUCACCUGUAAACCCAAUUAAUUAAACUAAGAAGCUCUCUUUUUCUCACACAUAUGUUCUUUGAUUUUCUUUCUUCAACAUACUUGUUUUUUUUUUUUUUUUUUUUUUUUUACGAAAAUGUACGAUAUUCAUUAAAAAAAUCAGAAAUACAUACGAACUAAGGAUUGUGUCUAUGAUCAUGGGCCUCAAUAAAAACCUUGUCUGGAAUUUCAACCCGGUCGAAGGUGAAAAGAGUGUCUUGCACAACAAGAUGACCUAUCUUCAAAUGAACAAUACAAGGGAAAAUUACAAAACGUCUUGGAACAAAAUAUCCCUAAGAAAAUUCGGAUGCUCCUCGAACCACACAAUUCUUGGGUACUACCAAUUCUCACACAAGCAAGGUGAUGCACUGCCAAAUUACUUUCCCGAUGAACAUGGUUGAUCAACGACUGAGGUAAUUAAUUUAUUUUCCUUACUUUGGGGUUUGGUUUUGUAUUUAGCCUACUUUUGUGGAGCCAAAAAUAAUUUGAAAAUUUUCUGAUCUGACACAUGAAUUUUUCUGUAACUAACGAGAAUGCCCUUAUUAAAUUAGUGAGACCCACAUUUACUUAUUUUAUUUAUUUAUUAAUUGUUAGAUAAGACCUGUUAUGUAUACAUGUUGUGAGGGUAGCCUAAAAAACAACAAAAUUCAUGUUGCAUGUAAUUAUUAAAUUGCCCAUAAUUUUUUUUUUGUUAAGUUUUUGUGAGAGUUAGAAUGGUAAUUUCUUGAAGUUUUGGUAGAUAAAGAAUGUUCUUGUUAAUAAGUAGUAUAAAUUUUUUUGUGUUACGUAAAUAGGGUGUGUAUAUUUGACACCCUAUCAAAAUAGCUGAGAAAGAAUUCUCCGCAAAUAAUAGUAUAAAUAAAUAAGGUGUUGGAGAGAUGUGCAUGCUUACCUUUUUCUAGUGCUAAUUAUAAUUAUUUACGUACAUUUGUAACAUUUACAUAUAAUUAUGUAUGAUGACCAGAGAAUCACAUUAUAAAACUUAGUGUCUUUGCCUUGCACUUUUGCAAUCAAGACUAGGCACCGGCCAAUCAAAACAAAAUUAUUCGUGUGUUCAUUCGUGCUGCAUAAGUGUGCUUAUAAUAUGGGCACAGUGUACAAAUUAAUGACACAAGUUUUUUAUUAAUCAGUAAGCAGGUCUGCCUGCACUUCCUCAUUUGUUUAUAAACGAAGCCUACUUCAUUAAUUUGAGUCAUUUAACCGUACAUAGAAGUUAUAUAUUUAAUUAGUUCCUUAAUAAAUUAGUUCAAUAUAUAUACAUACAUAUAUAUAUAUAUAUGUGUGUGUGUGUGUGUGUGUGUGUGUGUGUGUGUGUGUAUAUGUAUAGGAAUCAUUGUAUUAAAAGGCGGAGGCUUAGGCGAGGCGUUCCAUGGAUAACUCCGCCUAGACAUGAGGAGUGAGGCAUGAGGCUGAACCUAAUUUUUUUAGUAUAUAUUGUCUAUAUAUAUAUAUAUAUAUAUAUAUAUAUAUAUAAUACUUUGUAUAACAAUUAAUCAACAAUCAAACAAGCAAUCAAAACCAAAUUGAGAUUAGAAUACUAAAAGACUUAACUUGAAUUUUGAAACAAUUGUAGUGGUGUGGAGAAUUUUGAAACAAAUUGAAGUAUGAGAUUGGGGUAAAAUUGAAAUAUGGGAUUGGAAUUGAGAAUUUAGGGUUUGAGGAACUAGGGAAUUGUGGAAUUAGGGAUGGGAUUGGGUGAACUGAGAUUGGGUAUUUGGAUGGGAAAGAAGGGGAUUGGCUGGGGGAUAU